rnacentral:rRNA from 1 species
AGUGAACGCUGGCGGCAGGCCUAACACAUGCAAGUCGAACGGCAGCACAGUAAGAGCUUGCUCUUACGGGUGGCGAGUGGCGGACGGGUGAGGAAUACAUCGGUUUCUAUUUUUUCGUGGGGGAUAACGUAGGGAAACUUACGCUAAUACCGCAUACGACCUACGGGUGAAAGCAGGGGAUCUUCGGAUCUUGCGCGAUCGAAUGAGCCGAUGUCGGAUUAGUUAGUUGGCGGGGUACAGGCCCACCAAGGCGACGCUCCGUUGCUGGUCUGAGAGGGUGAACAGCCACACUGGAACUGAGACACGGUCCAGACUCCUACGGGAGGCAGCAGUGGGGAAUAUUGGACAAUGGGCGCAAGCCUGAUCCAGCCAUGCCGCGUGGGUGAAGAAGGCCUUCGGGUUGUAAAGCCCUUUUGUUGGGGAAGAAAAGCAGCAGGUUAAUACCCCGCUGUUCUGACGGUACCCAAAGAAUAAGCACCGGCUAACUUCGUG